rnacentral:rRNA from 1 species
UUAAGCUACUAAGAGCAUAAGGUGAAUGACUUGGCACCAAGAGCCGAAGAAAGACGUGAUAAGCUGCGAAAAGCAACGGGGAGAAGCAAAUAUUCCGUGAUCCGUUGAUUUCUGAAUGGGGAAACCCAACUAGAGAAAAAAGUCUAGUUACCCAUACAUGAGUAAAGUAGUGUAUGAGGAGGGAACGUAGGGAACUGAAACAUCUUAGUACCUACAGGAAAAGAAAGAAAAAUCGAUUCCUUGAGUAGUGGCGAGCGAAAGAGGAAGAGCCUAAACCUAUGGUAGUAAUACCGUAGGGGUUCGGACUACAUAAUCGAUCUAACGAGUUUAGCAGAAUUGCUUGGAAAGGCAGACCAUAGAUAGUGAAAGUCUAGUAUGCGAAAAAUAAGCUAACAUGGUAGUAUCCAGAGUAGUGCAAGACACGUGAAAUCUUGUAUGAAUGAGCGGGGACCAUCCCGUAAGGCUAAAUACUACUUGGUGACCGAUAGUGGAGCAGUACCGUGAGGGAAAGUUGAAAAGAACCCCGGGAGGGGAGUGAAAAGAACCUGAAACCUUAUGUUUACAAGCAGACAAAGCACGUUAAAGUGCGAUGUCGUACUUUUUGUAGAACGGUCCGGCGAGUUAUUGUAUAUGGCAAGGUUAAGUACUAAUAAGGUAUGGAGCCGAAGCGAAAGCGAGUCUGAACAGGGCGACUUAAGUCAUAUGUAAUAGACCCGAAACUGAGUGACCUAUCCAUGGUCAGGAUGAAGCUUGAGUAAAAUCAAGUGGAGGUCCGAACUGAUUGUCGUUAAAAAGGCACCGGAUGAACUGUGGAUAGCGGAGAAAUUCCAAUCGAACUCAGAGAUAGCUGGUUCUCCUCGAAAUAGCUUUAGGGCUAGCCUUGAGGUAAAAGAUUCAUGGGGGUAGAGCACUGAAGGAGCUAGGGGCCUAAACCAGGUUACUGAACUCUAUCAAACUCCGAAUACCGUGAAUUGUUUCUCAGGAGUCAGACUGCGGGAGCUAAGUUCCGUGGUCAAAAGGGAAAGAGCCCAGAUCGUCAAUUAAGGUCCCAAAGAAAUAGCUAAGUGGAAAACGAUGUGAUUUUGCGUAAACAACCAGGAUGUUGGCUUAGAAGCAGCCAUUCAUUCAAAGAGUGCGUAAUAGCUCACUGGUCGAGUGAAGUUGCGCGGAAAAUUACCGGGGCUAAGCUAUUCACCGAAAUUGCGAAUUUAUGUGUUAAGCACAUAAGUGGUAGAGGAGCAUUCUAUAGUAGGACGAAGGUAGACCGAAAGGACUGCUGGACGAGAUAGAAGAGAGAAUGCCGGAAUAAGUAGCGAGAGCAAGGUGAGAAUCCUUGCCGUCGAAAGUCUCAGGUUUCCUGGGGAAGGUUCGUCCGCCCAGGGUAAGUCGGGACCUAAGGUGAGGCCGAAAGGCGUAGCCGAUGGAUAGCAGGCAAAAAAUUCCUGCACUAUAGAUAUACAUUAAAAAGCGCAUGUGACACAGUAGAGGAAGAUAAGCGAGGAAGAGGAAAAACUCGUACCGCAAGGUAUAGUGAAAAUUAUAAAGUAACGAAUUAUCAAGAAUCACACUGGCAAGAAAAGCAUGUGAGUCUAGUAUAUAGAUACCCGUACCGCAAACCGACACAGGUAGAUGAGGAGAGGAUCCUAAGACGAACGGGAGAAGCAUUGUUAAGGAACUCGGCAAAAUGACCCCGUAACUUCGGAAGAAGGGGUGCUGGUGUAAAAGCCAGUCGCAGAGAAGAGUCCCAAGCAACUGUUUAACAAAAACAUAGGUUUCUGCUAAAUCGAAAGAUGAAGUAUAGGAGCUGACGCCUGCCCAGUGCUGGAAGGUUAAGGGAAAGAGUUAGGAGUAAUCCGAAGCCCUGAACUGAAGCCCCAGUGAACGGCGGCCGUAACUAUAACGGUCCUAAGGUAGCGAAAUUCCUUGUCAGGUAAGUUCUGACCCGCACGAAAGGCGUAAUGAUUUGGGAGCUGUCUCGACAAUGUCCCCGGCGAAAUUGUAGUACUAGUGAAGAUGCUAGUUACCUGCGACAAGACAGAAAGACCCCAUGGAGCUUUACUGUAGCUUGAUACUGGGUUUCGGUAGUUUAUGUACAGGAUAGGUGGGAGGCUUAGAGUACAGGGCGUCAGCUUUGUAGGAGCCAUUGUUGGGAUACCACCCUUAAAUUACUGGAAUUCUAACUUGUAGUCAUAAUCUGGCUAGAGGACAAUGUCAGGUGGGCAGUUUGACUGGGGCGGUCGCCUCCUAAAGAGUAACGGAGGCGCCCAAAGGUUUCCUCAGCCUGGUCAGAAAUCAGGCGUAAGAGUGCAAAGGCAGAAGGAAGCUUAACUGAAAGACAGACAUGUCGAGCAGAUACGAAAGUAGGGCUUAGUGAUCCGGUGGUUGUAAAUGGAAAUGCCAUCGCUCAACGGACAAAAGUUACCCUGGGGAUAACAGGCUUAUCUCCCCCAAGAGUUCACAUCGACGGGGAGGUUUGGCACCUCGAUGUCGGCUCAUCGCAUCCUGGGGCUGUAGUCGGUCCCAAGGGUUGGGCUGUUCGCCCAUUAAAGCGGUACGCGAGCUGGGUUCAGAACGUCGUGAGACAGUUCGGUCCUUAUCUGUCGCAGGCGCAGGAUAUUUGAAGGGAGCUGUCCUUAGUACGAGAGGACCAGGAUGGACAUACCGAUGGUGUAUCAGUUGUCACACCAGUGGCACGGCUGAGUAGCUAAGUAUGGACGGGAUAAACGCUGAAAGCAUCUAAGUGUGAAGCCCACCCUAAGAUAAGAUAUCCCAUAUCGUAAGAUAGUAAGAUUCCAGGAAGACGACCUGGUUGAUAGGAUGGAGGUAGAAGUGUAGUGAUACAUGAAGCUGACCAUUACUAAUAGAUCGAGGGCUUAACCAC